UACGAAGGGGGCUAGCGUUGCUCGGAAUCACUGGGCGUAAAGCGCACGUAGGCGGAUUGCUAAGUCAGGGGUGAAAUCCUGGAGCUCAACUCCAGAACUGCCCUUGAUACUGGCAGUCUCGAGUCCGGGAGAGGUGAGUGGAACUGCGAGUGUAGAGGUGAAAUUCGUAGAUAUUCGCAAGAACACCAGUGGCGAAGGCGGCUCACUGGCCCGGUACUGACGCUGAGGUGCGAAAGCGUGGGGAGCAAACAGG
rnacentral:rRNA from 1 species